rnacentral:rRNA from 1 species
GAUGAACGCGGGCGGCGUGCCUAACACAUGCAAGUCGAGCGAAGCACUUUGCUUAGAUUCUUCGGAUGAAGAGGAUUGUGACUGAGCGGCGGACGGGUGAGUAACGCGUGGGUAACCUGCCUCAUACAGGGGGAUAACAGUUAGACAUGACUGCUAAUACCGCAUAAGACCACAGCACCGCAUGGUGCGGGGGUAAAAACUCCGGUGGUAUGAGAUGGACCCGCGUCUGAUUAGCUAGUUGGUAAGGUAACGGCUUACCAAGGCGACGAUCAGUAGCCGACCUGAGAGGGUGACCGGCCACAUUGGGACUGAGACACGGCCCAAACUCCUACGGGAGGCAGCAGUGGGGAAUAUUGCACAAUGGGGGAAACCCUGAUGCAGCGACGCCGCGUGAGCGAAGAAGUAUUUCGGUAUGUAAAGCUCUAUCAGCAGGGAAGAAAAUGACGGUACCUGACUAAGAAGCACCGGCUAAAUACGUGCCAGCAGCCGCGGUAAUACGUAUGGUGCAAGCGUUAUCCGGAUUUACUGGGUGUAAAGGGAGCGUAGACGGAUGGGCAAGUCUGAUGUGAAAACCCGGGGCUCAACCCCGGGACUGCAUUGGAAACUGUUCAUCUAGAGUGCUGGAGAGGUAAGUGGAAUUCCUAGUGUAGCGGUGAAAUGCGUAGAUAUUAGGAGGAACACCAGUGGCGAAGGCGGCUUACUGGACAGUAACUGACGUUGAGGCUCGAAAGCGUGGGGAGCAAUCAGG